rnacentral:lncRNA from 1 species
AGAAUCCUGCAAACAGCAGCUGGUUUAGUGGAGGCUGCCAGACUUCAGGGAUUCUUAGGUCUCUCAGUGAAGACGCUGAUACAGCUUCUGACACCAUUGGUGAUGAGUGGUGUGGAACAGCCGGUCCAGGUCUGAGGCUAUCAAAUACUGAAAGGGAAUCUCCUGCAUCCAAGUCCCAGGAUACCAGAGUAGCCCUCUGCAGCCCACACAGUUUCUGAGUAAGUGGGAGAUGGUUACUUAAAAGGCCAGGGGAAAAAAAAAUCACUGGCUAAACAAGGAAUGAAGGAGAAAACCCCUAAGAAGACAGCCUAAAUAUUAAAUUGAAAUUUAUAAGAGGUGCAGAAUUUCUGUUUAAGUCUAAUUCACACUAAUUUUUCCUAAUUGCCUCUCUUUUACAUAGGGAUCAAUUUGGAUAAAGAAUGAGAAGCCAUGAGAAUGUAGUUUUGUAGAGAAUAAAAAUGACAAACUCUUUCAUUAAAAAGGGUUCUGGGCAAUGAGUCCAUUUAUAUCU